rnacentral:lncRNA from 1 species
CAUGAUACAGUGACACCGGUCUCUAAAUCCUAUGGCCUCACCUAACAGUUGUUGACCAUAUUUUUUAGUUAAGUCAGACCCACCAUUCACUAAUGGGUGCAAUGCCAUCAUUAAGUCUCUCACCUAAUAGUUAUUGGAUCCAAUCCUAUCUCUUUCCCAGAGCAUCUUAUGCUAAUAGAGUGAUUGCAUGUUUCUGAUGCAACUGAACCACUAUGACC